GGUGAUAUAGCCAAGUGAUUAAGGAGAAGGUCUGCAAAACCUUUAUCCCCGGUUUGAAUCCGGGUAUCACCU
rnacentral:tRNA from 1 species